UACGAGGGGUGCAAGCGUUGCUCGGAAUUAUUGGGCGUAAAGGGCAAGUAGGUGGUCUCAUUUGUCUGGGGUGAAAGCCUUGAGCUUAACUCAAGAAGUGCCCCGGAAACGGUGAGACUCGAGUACUGGAGAGGGUCGUGGAAUUCCCGGUGUAGCGGUGAAAUGCGUAGAGAUCGGGAGGAACACCAGAGGCGAGGGCGGCGACCUGGACAGUUACUGACACUCAACUGCGAAAGCGUGGGGAGCAAACAGG
rnacentral:rRNA from 1 species